AGGUCCUACGGGGGGCAGCAGUGGGGAAUAUUGCACAAUGGGGGGAACCCUGAUGCAGCGACGCCGCGUGAGCGAGGAAGUAUUUCGGUAUGUAAAGCUCUAUCAGCAGGGACGAAAAAAGACGGUACCUGACUGAGAAGCCCCGGCUAACUACGUGCCAGCAGCCGCGGUAAUACGUAGGGGGCAAGCGUUAUCCGGAUUUACUGGGUGUAAAGGGAGCGUAGACGGCAAGGCAAGCCAGAAGUGAAAGGGCAGGGCUCAACCCUGGGACUGCUUUGGAAACUGUUUUGCUAGAGUGUCGGAGG
rnacentral:rRNA from 1 species